rnacentral:rRNA from 1 species
UACGUAGGGGGCAAGCGUUAUCCGGAUUUACUGGGUGUAAAGGGAGCGUAGACGGCUGUGCAAGUCUGAAGUGAAAGCCCAGGGCUCAACCCUGGGACUGCUUUGGAAACUGUGGAGCUAGAGUGCUGGAGAGGUAAGUGGAAUUCCUAGUGUAGCGGUGAAAUGCGUAGAUAUAAGGAAGAACACCAGUGGCGAAGGCGGAUAACUGGACGGCAACUGACGGUGAGGCGCGAAAGCGUGGGGAGCAAACAGG